rnacentral:rRNA from 1 species
ACUAUUGUCACGGGUUACCGCGGCUGCUGGCACGGAGUUAGCCGGUGCUUCUUCUGCGAGUAACGUCACAGAUGUAAGGUAUUAACUUAUACCCUUUCCUCCUCGCUGAAAGUGCUUUAACAACCCGAAGGCCUUCUUCACACACGCGGCAUGGCUGCAUCAGGGUUUCCCCCAUUGUUGCAAUAUUCCCCACUGCUGCCUCCCGUAGGAGUCUGGGCCGUGUCUCAGUCCCAGUGUGCUGAUCAUCCUCUCAGACCAGCUAGGGAUCGUCGCCUAGGUGA